GAUCGCCUCUACUCACUGAAGCAAAAGGACAAUAAUCGGCCUUGAACCCAAGCCUUUUCAGAAGACUUGCUCCACAUUCUAGGUAAAGCUGUGCUUCCCUUUGGCCUCCAUUCCUGUAGCAGUUCCUUCCCGAGGUAGGCACUGCAUUUGUCUUAGAUACUCUCCUAUUGCUGUGAGAAGACCCCAUGACUGAGGCAGCACAGGAAAAUGAAGUGGAAAUUUCUGGUCUCUUUGUGACAUGGAUAUUUUUCUGGAAACUGUCUUAUGGUUGUGCUGAAGCAGACACGUGGGAAGAUGUUUUGCUGAGAACAGACACAUGGUGUUUUUCUGGAAGCUACUUGGAAAGAAGGCAUGUGAUGUUUUGUUGAGCAGAUGCUUGAGAGAACACAUGAUGUUUGAAAAGGGGAUAAGUAUAACCCAACAGACGUAGGUGUUAGGUGACAGUGGGUCAUCUUGCCAUUCUUUGCUAGUCACCGUUUGUUGUGAUUUCGUAGAGAGAAACACACCAAAGAACUUCUGGUGGCAUUCCAGUGGCUUCUUGCUGCUUCUGUGGACUCUGGUCAAUUUGGAAGAGCCUUGAGGUUUCUUCUGGAUGGAUGCAAGCCACUGCUAUGGCUGAUUCGUGAAUAUUGUUUACAAGUGAAUUGAGCUACCACUGCUGAUUCAUGUGAACUGAACUGCUUGCUGCUAUCCUGACAACGAAGACUGGGUUCGCCCCAAAGAACUAUUUCUAAACAGCCCACAUCCUCCUCUGCUCUAUUAACCUUCCCUUUCCACUGCCUCUGGUGGGUGGUGGGCUAGAAGGGAGGUUAAAGCAUUUAAGCACACUUAAAUUGGUUUUGAAAAAUACAAGCUUACAGG
rnacentral:lncRNA from 1 species